GUAGGUUUCAAAUAGCCAUAAAUGGGAAAGCUUCUCAAUGUGUUCUGAAAACUUGACAUUCUUAAAUGGUUAUUUAAACCCAAAGUAUUUCAUUUGAGUUAAACUUUGACCAACCCAGGUGACUAGUUUAUAGUUCUUGAAACCUUGUGGAAUACUUGGUAUCAGCAAAGACCACACACCCAGAUUCCUGGAGCAUGUCUUGUGUUUGUGUUUAAACACAACCCUGAAAUGUUUUCUUUCCUACCUAUUUCAGACACAUUCUUCUCAUCUGAAAGCUUUGUGUCUUACUCAACAACCUCUGUAUCUAAACUAUGCUGAAGAUACAUAGAAAAGAGAUGACAUCACAGAACUGAUUCUGUUCUUUUAGCUUUGUGUUUAGCUUAAGUUGAGCAUUUACAAUGAGUCAUACAAUCUUGUGACCAGCUGGGCACUUUUCCAAUCAGAGACUGUUAAGAUCUUUGACAACAGAACCUGCAGUUGUUUGAAGAAGACGUAUCAACAGUGACCUGGACGCUUGGUGAUACCAGACUUCUAUCAAAGGGGUUACUCUGAAAAUAAAUAUCUUACAGGUUUUCCAAUCAGAGAGAGGUGAGCAUUCAGAUGCCAGCAGCCACCUGGCCGGUGUGGGUCCCUUAUUGGCGGCAGACAUGCCAUUUGGAAAACCCUAGAGAGAGGUCCUUACUGAUCUCCAUCCAGCGAUCUCCAUCUCCAUGCGGUGAGGAUAUACCGGUGUGUCUGAGCCUCCAGUAAUCAUCUGGAGAUCUUGUUGAAAAAUAGGGUUUGGUGGGGGCAGGUCUGGGUGGGGACUGCUUCUGAUGGCUGCAAGCUGAUGAUGCCGCUGUUGCCAGUCCAGGGACCUCAUCUUGAAUGGGAAAGAUCUAAACUCCUCAAAUGAGAGAUUUUCUCAUAUUUAUUAAGACCCUGGUGAGGGACCAGAUUCCAUAACACUGGGGUCCCAAACUACUUUGUCCUGGGCAUAUUUGGGGUUCUUGUUCUUCUAGUACAAGAUCCAAAGCAUCCUGUUGCAUUGAACUUGGCUUCCUUGUAAGAUGAAGAGAAGAUGCUGGCUGGAGUCUUGGGUCCUUUUCAAUCAUCACAUGGCACACUUCCUUCAUUUAAAAGUAAUUUAAAUCAGGGAAUAUUCAGAAUUGUGUCCAUUAAAAUUGUGAUUAAUUAAAUUCUGUUCAGCUGAUUUGAAUCUCCUAUAAGACUAAGAAUCAAUAUGCUUCUGUUGUAUUAGGAAAAAUGUAUAACAGCAUUAGAACUGAUUAUCAAAAAUAGCUUAAUAUUCCAAAAAGAAAUUCAGUAACUCAUUGAUGAAUGAGUUUAGAAGCUGGCUGCAUAUCAUGUAAUCACCAAAAACUACAAUGUAGUUAAUGUUUCAGAAUUUGCUAAGAGAGUUUUGUUUUCAUUUCCUUAUGUUACAUUGACAGUAUAACAAAUCCAGUCAAGUUUUCUUAGACAAUACUGUGUUUGGUUUCUAUUCUCUUGUACUUUAGAACUCUGUUAGGAUUUUAUUUGUUGUAUCUUAAUAGCAAUGUUUCUUGCACAGGAACCUUUUAAUGGAAAUUCAC